ensembl:lincRNA
GUGCAGGCAGGCUCAGGGACUGUGCCGGCUGCUUCCUCGAAGACAGCUGUCUUCUCUCACUGGCUGCACUUGGGAGAAGGGCAGAGGUCUGUCCUGGGCUUUUUUUGUGUUUGUUUGAGGCAGGGUCUUGCUAUGGCCCUGGCUGGCUUCCCACUGGAGGAGAUCCUCCUGCCUCAACCUCCCAAGUGCUGGGAUAACAGGCACUGCCGUGCCAAGUUCCCGCACUUUUUUUCUUGGUACCAGGGGAUUGAGCUCAGGACCUUGAGCUUUCAAGGCAGGCACCGUGCCACUGAGCUGAAUCCCCUGCUCCUCUGGCUUCUUUUAUAGGGGCGCAACUCCUAGGUGUGAGAGCUCCACCGUGGCAACCUAAGCACCUCCCAAACCCCAUCCUCUUACCAUAACCUUAGAGAUUAAGGUUCACGUGUGAAUUAAAAGAGGAGGCACAAACCUUCCGACUCCCAAGCCCUCCUCUGAGCGCCCCCUGCACUGGAACCCACAGAUCCAGGGGAUCCUGGAGCCAACCGUGAGCGCUUAACACGGAGAGCUCCACGGGAUUUUGGUUUCCGCAGCGCCUAGCUCAGUGCCCUGACGUUUAAUAGGUGCCGAGCGUGUAUCAUUAAGAAAAUAACACAACAGAUGCUUACUUUUCCUAGGAAGCAGAGCAAGGGGCCACAACUCUGUCACGUCCACCGGCCAAGGGCGGCCCUCACAUGCGCCUCGGACCGCGGCCGUCCACGCGACAGCCCAGCCGCAGCCAGGGCAGAAGUUCUGCUCCGUGGCCGGGUCCGGGGUGGCCGUGGGACCCGGAGGGACAGAGGGCUCCCGCUGGCCUGGUGCACGGCGACUCAGCCUUAAUUCACACGAAAUGCGAUCCCAUCACUCAAGCCGGGCGCCCGGCCUUGGCCAGCGCAGGCGCGGUCCAGGCUAGGGACUCAGGAGGCCGCCAGGAGCCCGAAACGACCCGGAACCUGCUUCCCUCCUGACCUCUGCGACUGCAGCAGUUUUGAGACUCAGCUGCUCUCUCCAAAUCUCAAUUGACAACACUAACCCACUCAGCAGCCUCUUUUUCAAAGAAGAAAACCGAGGUCCAAAGAAGUUAGAAGUAUUGGGCGGCAGUCUUGGGAGCACAGGUGAACCGGGACCCCGGGCUCCGAUCGUCCUUGGCUCCAGGCCUCCAGUCCCCCAACCCCAAGCGGGGAGAUGGGGGCUGAUCUGUCUGGGGGCGGGGCUAGGAACUGGGGGUCUUGGAACUGCAGGAAGGACCCUGGGCUGGGGGAGCUGCUGGGGGCUGGAGCCAGGUGGGAGUGGGUGGCAUUGCUGCAGAUGGAGUCCGUCCUGUUUCAGAAAGAACCCGUGCAGAUGGUUUUGAGCAGGGAAAGCCUUAUCGGUUAGGGAUAGAAUUUGGCAGCUGGAAACCAAGACCAUAAAGCUAAAACCCAAACAGGAAGCCAGCUUCUUCCUAGGUGCUAUGAAAUCCCAGAUGGUCAGGGAUGGGGAAAUACUUGUCAGACUCUGUCAGCACCUCUCUUCUCUGCCAAGUGGCUCUGCUAGUGGCUUCUGCCUCCAAGGUCACCUCAUGAUCACAAGAUGGCCA